rnacentral:rRNA from 1 species
CAGCCGCCGCGGUAAUACGUAGGGUGCAAGCGUUCAUCGGAAUUACUGGGCGUAAAGCGUGCGCAGGCGGUUCGGAAAGAAAGAUGUGAAAUCCCAGAGCUUAACUUUGGAACUGCAUUUUUAACUACCGGGCUAGAGUGUGUCAGAGGGAGGUGGAAUUCCGCGUGUAGCAGUGAAAUGCGUAGAUAUGCGGAGGAACACCGAUGGCGAAGGCAGCCUCCUGGGAUAACACUGACGCUCAUGCACGAAAGCGUGGGGAGCAAACAGGAUUAGAUACCCUGGUAGUCCACGCCCUAAACGAUGUCAACUAGCUGUUGGGGCCUACGGGCCUUGGUAGCGCAGCUAACGCGUGAAGUUGACCGCCUGGGGAGUACGGUCGCAAGAUUAAAACUUAAAGGAAUUGGCGGG